GCUACAUGCACCUGACUUUUUUGCGAAGAUGAAAACAAAUUCCAUUAUCUGUAAUAUCUAAUUAAUUUGCUGCUUAUUACAGCAAACAAUGCAACUCAUUCAAGACAAGGGCUACGCAGGUGAAAACUGGUUUGGAGGAUGCUGUUCCUGGUAUCAAUGUGCUACUUAAUCCCGAGAAGCCUAGAAGAGGUUGCUUUGAAAUACGGAGGGAAGGUGGAGAGAAGUUCAUCAGUCUUCUGGUAAAAUUUACAAUAAAAAAUAACUCUGUUAGGUGCCCUGCCAAUAAUAUUAGACUGCAAUACCAUCUUGUGCCAUUAAGGAUGGAGAAUUUGCAAUUUUAUCAUGCUGCUAUAAUGACAUUGCCAAUUGAUUGUUUUGGGAUGCAUAUGAAAUUAGGAUUGUGGUUGGGGUUUUACCUGUGAAGUCUGUGUAGCAUAUUGUUAGCCUUUUGGCCUUGGCAAAUUAAAACAUUCCCUUGAUCUUCUUGUUAGAAGUAGCAAUGUUUUCUUAUUUUGAUCGGCUGUUCACUGUUAUAUCAAUGUCGAUCUCUUCAUCUCAAAAAAAAAAAAAAAAAAAA